rnacentral:lncRNA from 1 species
CGGCAGCGCGACGCCGGGUGGCCCAGCAGCGGGCGGGUGCCGGGGGCGGAAGCGCGGCCACAAGAGGGGGCGAUUCACCGCCGCCCCCCGUGGGACCUGGGUCCUCUACGCGGGACCGCAGGGGCCCCGAGUCGCGGGUUGGGCAAGGUCGCCCGCUCCGGGUCGCUCGGAAGGGUCAUUUCACGGACCGGUCGUCUGGGGCCAGUGCGUCUUGCCCCGCACGGAAGACCCCUCGCUUCGAGGACAGGAAAGCUUUUAAAGUGAGGAUUGGCUCGCCGCGCCUCCCGCAGAGGGGAACGCCGCCCGGACCCGCGCUCCUGGGGCGGGGGCCUCGUAUGCUGGCGUUGCCGGAGCGUCUGCGGCGCUGAAGGCUGCCGAGACCCAGCCACAUCCCCCACAAGCCAGCAGCCCGGCAGAAAAUUACAUAAAAUGCAGCGCUUCGCCGAGGGGGUGCGAGUCGGGGGAGCAGCGCGCAGCUGCGGCUGACGGCUCGGCUGGAUCCAUCCAAGCAUGGACAGGAAAACGGGACUGUGGGGAGAGGGUGGUGCAGACGGGCCGCAGACCCUCCUUAGGAAGAGAAGCCGGAAACUAGGGAGUCAUGUGCAGUUAGAAUCCUCUUGGAAGACUAGUAGGAUGUGAGGUUGGAGAGGUGGACGACGACCAGAAAAUUCCCUUGUCUUGCCAGGCUUCUGACCUAACUAUGAGUUUCCUCCGCGCAUCCAGCCUGCCCUGCUCUGGCCCCUAAAGUACAGCAGUAACACUCAGUGGUGUCCCUGCCUUCCUGGAAUGCGCGUUAACAAUUCUGAUUCUUACUCAUGGCAAUAACCUACACACCACAUAGACGUUAAAUGUGGUUCGGGUCAGACUCUAGGGCAGGACUCACUGCCUGCACCUUGUCUUGGCUCCACCAGCUUGACCUUGAGCAAGUCACAACCUGUGGGUCUCAGUGUUCCUUACUAGUAAACCGUAGGUAAUUCCUCACUAGUAAACAGAUAAUAUUUGUGCCUGUC